rnacentral:rRNA from 1 species
GACGAACGCUGGCGGCGUGCUUAACACAUGCAAGUCGAGCGGUAAGGCCCUUUCGGGGGUACACGAGCGGCGAACGGGUGAGUAACACGUGGGUGACCUGCCCUCAGCUCUGGGAUAAGCCUGGGAAACCGGGUCUAAUACUGGAUAUGACUCCAUGACGCAUGUUGUGGGGUGGAAAGCCUUGUGCGGCUGAGGAUGGGCCCGGCGGCCUAUCAGCUUGUUGGUGGGGUGAGGCCUACCAAGGCGACGACGGGUAGCCGGCCUGAGAGGGCGACCGGCCACACUGGGAC